AACGCGAAGAACCUUACCAGGAUUUGACAUGCCCCUCGCGGACGCUUGAAAGAGCAUCCUUCAGUUCGGCUGGAGGGAGCACAGGUGCUGCAUGGCUGUCGUCAGCUCGUGUCGUGAGAUGUUGGGUUAAGUCCCGCAACGAGCGCAACCCUCGUCCUCUGUUGCUAACAGGUCAUGCUGAGAACUCUGAGGAAACUGCCGGUGAUAAGCCGGAGGAAGGUGGGGAUGACGUCAAGUCCUCAUGGCCCUUACAUCCUGGGCUACACACGUGUUACAAUGGCGGUGACAAUGGGCUGCGAUCCCGCAAGGGCUAGCUAAUCCCUAAAAACCGCCUCAGUUCGGAUUGUACUCUGCAACUCGAGUACAUGAAGCUGGAAUCGCUAGUAAUCGUGGAUCAGCACGCCACGGUGAAUACGUUCCCGGGCCUUGUACACACCGAUAGC
rnacentral:rRNA from 1 species